CGAUGAGGAGCCCCGAGGGGAACGGGGCUCAGGUCUGUUACUUCAUCAUCCAGCUCCUCCUCCUCAAACCCAACGACUUCCACAACCGCGUCAGUGAUUUCGUGAAGGAGAACGCUCCUGAACACUGGCUGCAGAGGGACUGGCACACCAAACACAUGACCUACCACUAGUAGUAUCCAGAGAAGCUGUACUUCGAAGGUCUGGCAGAGCAGGUCAACUUUCCCAUUCAGCUGCUCUCACGGUACCUGCCCAUCUACUUCAGUAACGUGUGUCUGCGCUUCCUUCCUGUAUUCGACAUCGUCAUCCAUCACUUCCUGGAGCUGCUGCCUGUGUCCAAGUCUCUGGAGACGCUGCUCGAUCACCUGGCGGGGCUCUACAAGUUCCAUGAUCGUCCGGUGACGUACCUGUAUAACACACUGCACUAUUACGAGAGACACCUGCGGGAUCGCACCAGUCUGAAGAGGAAGCUGGUGCACGCCAUCAUGAGCUCGCUCAAGGACAACCGCACGCCUGGCUGGUGUCUCAGCGAGACCUACCUGAAGUGUGGCAUGAACCCCCGGGAAGACAACGUCUGGAUCCCCGACGACA